AAUGUCUAAAGUUUCUAAGUGCAGAGAGUUUUUAGAGUCUAAAGGAAUCCCCCUUGCGCCUCUCGCCUUCGCAUUCCUUAUAUACUCCUCCUAAGUCGGUUUGGGCUUUUUUUUCUGGCCUUGGGUCAAAUUUAUCUUUUCGCAGAAAUAUUCCAUUUUCCCGAUCUUCAUCAAUAUCCCUUGGAACUUGACAUUUAUCUUCAAACUUGACAUUUAUCUUUUCUCGCGAAUAUUUGAUAAACCAUCAUAGUGAAUUUGAGCUGAUUCAAAAAAAAAUCGUAAGUGGACUUUUGCCGCGCUUUAGACUCCUUGGGAAGUUUUUCGACUAAAAUGUUUAUACGAUUUGUUUCGGAGGAUUUUCCCUUAGUACGACGUCAGCUUUAUGGAAUAGCGGAAAUCAAUCGUAAAGCCAAGAUAACCAUGGUGUUAAGUUAACUGUUAUCAUUUUAUAAGAUCAACCCCAACUUAUACGAGAAAAUAAGUUUUCGUUGUUUUAAUUGUAUAGUUUCAACGUUAACUCCGAUCGAGACGAAACAAGAGACUGUUUGACCGAGACCCAAAGGGGGGAGUUCCAGAGACGAGAAUGCAUUGUGUUGGACUGAUCCAACUCGCCUGAUGGUGAAUUGGACAAGACUGAUUCAACUCGCCAUUGGGCGAGUUGGAAGUGGUUCAUCCAACUUGCCCAAUGGUGAGUUGAAUUAGUCGAUCCAACUCGCCAUUGGGCGAGUUGGACGUGGCUUAUCCAACUUGUCUGAUGGCGGGUCGGACGAUGCUGGUUUGGUUGUUCUGAUGCGUGGAAAUAGUCCAUUCGAGGGAUUGAGUGAUCCCUUCCGAGGAGAUUGUCUUGUAAUACUCUUAAAAAUACAAAGUUUUAAUCUUCCGAGGAGAUUCUCCUUUUAGAAAGAUUUUUCGGGAACUUUCCGGCAUUGAUUCCAUCGUGACCGAUUUUGACCCCAACAUCUAUCUAUCUUAUGAGGAUUCACGCUUGACUGCAUCACCUGAGCCGUCCUAUGGGAUCCACGCUUUACGAUACUCUUUGCGCCAUGCUGCUAAUUUCUUGUAAGCCUUUUUCUCCAUUAAUUCUCAUAUUUCUGUUUUCACUGGGAAUCGAAACUCAGACCUUCUAGUAUAGAAUUAUUAAUGAACCCUUAGUUAAACCAAUGAUACUUCCACAACCUACUAGCUGUCUAUGUAUGUUAUUAUCUUAUUUUGAUACUCUGCUUUACCCCAACGGUUUGGUAUAUGGAACUAUUUAUAAAUUUUUAAUGAAGAGAAACCUAAAAUGAAAGCUAGGAAAUAGUUUUUAUUUUUUUUUCAAACCCUAAUAUCUCUCUCGUCUCCUCCUCAUCUCCCUUAGAGCGGCGGAUCUGAAAUUUCGUCUGACCGGCGCGUGGUGGCUCCGAUAGUGCCACCGCCGGUCCUAAUAGUUGUCUUUCGUCUUCUAGAAUAGUUUGUUGUGUCUUGUGCUUUGGUGGUCGUAGAUCUGGUCAAGCGGAGGUUCUGAUGCCAAAGAGAUGAUUUUGAAACGGGUCUGGUGGUGUACGGCGGCGUCUCGUCGUAGUGAUUCUGUCUGGAUCCGAGUUUGUGUUCCUUCAUUGAUUGAGAUGGUCUGGAGUGGCAAAAGACGCUGUCUUUUGCUCUGGAUUUGUGGUGUUUCUGGGCUGUUUGGUUGGGCCUGUCACCAGUGAAGAGCUAUGGUGUCUGUUCGUCUGAAGCUCUCCAGUUUGUGGUCCUCCAUAAGCGGUUAGUGUUGUCUGGUUUUAGGUCUUGUCUAGGGUUGAGGAUGGGAUUACUUGUGAGCUUUGUUUCUUUGGCGCAACUGAUUUCGGUUAGCACAUUUGAUCUGGUUCGCGGUGGGUGUAAUUUCCGGUUCAGAUAUGUGGUUAUAAGAGCAGCUGCAACGGGAGAUCGUUGAUGGUCCUUAGCGCAUAAUCAUAUGCUUUUGGGAUUAUAAUAAUAUUAUUUGAGCUAAAUAAGCUAAGGAUUAAUCCUUACAUAAGGAUUUAAAGGAUUUGAUCCUUAGAGACGUGGCAGCGGGUGAUUCGUUGGUCGGCUUUCGUCUUUCGUAUACCAAAAAAAAAAAUCAUUUUCGAUCGAAGCGGAGAAAAAAAAAGCUCUCGAGGAAAGGCGAAUUGGAACCGUCCCGCUACAAAGAUGGCGAAUCCACAUGAACCUCAUUUCUUAAAGCCUCUGCUUCCUGGUUUCCACAGUGGCAUCACAAUACCACUUGGCUUCUUCUCAAAGCACAUAGAAAGGAAGACGAACCAGAAAACAUGGAAACUAAGAUCAGACGCUUCAGAUAAAAUUUGGGAAGUGAUACAAGAAGGCAUGAGACUCACCGGAGGUUGGAAAGAUUUCGCCACAGCAAAUGACCUUCGAAUCGGUGACAUUGUCAUCUUCAAACACGAAGGAGACAUGGUGUUUCAUGUCACUCCUUUUGGUCCUAGCUGUUGUGAGAUUCAGUAUACAGAUCCUGACAUCAACAAGGAAGAAGCCGACGCGGGUGAUGCUGAUGAGAAUGAGAUUACUCACAUUGCUUCUAGCUCACGGAUGAUUUAGGAGUGAUUGUGACCGGAAAUAGAUAUCUCUUUUGCUGUGUUUCCUCUCUAUCAAACUUGUUUCCUCUCUUGCUAGUUAUCUCUUUCGGUUUGUUUCGUCUCUAUCAGAACUUGUUUCCUUUUCUUUCCUUUUGGUACUACUGUAAAAUCUUGUUGCUACAACUCGAAGUUGCCACAAGUGUAAUCUUGUUUCUUAUCUUAUAUGCUUCUCUUAUGUUAUUUUCGGCUAAGGCUACUGUGUUAAACUUGAAUUUGGCUUGAAUUUGGCUUGUAAACAUUUUUAAACUUGUAUCAAACGUAGAUAUUUUUAAACUUCUAUCACACUUAUAGAAACCAUACUAAAUGAAACUUAUAGUUUUAAGAAGAUAAACUUAUACAUAAGAUAAGAAAAACUAAUAGAAAUUCUUUACCUUAUAGCUUAUAAUUUUUUUUAAAAAAAAAUUGACAUUGUAAAACUUAUAGUUUUUAAACUUAUACAUUUUUAAACUUCUCUUUUUUUGUAUCUUCAUUUUUAAUCAUGCAAUUAAUAAAAUUUCAAUUUAAAUUUAAAAAGAAAAAAUUUAUUCCUAAGGACUCCAUCUUCGGUAACACCAUUGGACGAGCAAUUUUGAUUCGAAUCCUUAACUAUUCAAACAACAACCAAAAAGAAAAAAAAAUUAUUAAAAAAAUGCUAAGGAUUCAUGGGUUGGUCUCACCAUUGCACAUGCUCUAAGUUUUGCGGAUCAAUUCAGUUAUUGGCGUCUUGAGAAGUUAGAGCUCUUACGGUUUUCAUAUCCGUAUUCCCUCUAUAGCUAUGUGGUUUCGUUGGAUAUGGAUGAAUGAUUAUGGUUUAUGCUUAAGCCUUGUAUCUUAUUUCAAUAAAUGUGGAGGGUCUCUGCUUUGGUUCGUGACGAGAUGCUUUGGUUCGUGACGAGAGUGUUUUCUCCAGUUCUCAUUUAAAGAUCCAAAUGGUUUUAAUUGUGUUACGAUAUGGCUGGAGCUAAUGGAAGUACCGGCUUAUGGUUGUGCGAGCUUUGAGGUCUCUGCCAAAUUGGUUCUUUGGUUCUUUGGAUAGAAAAGUUUCAAGUCCACAAACAAGAUUUCUAGACUUGUUUUUAUCCAUAGUUUGAAGAUUGGUGCACUCUUCUCCAUUGGUCGCAAUCAUCAGGACAUCCGCUUCGGUUCUCUCAAUAAGUUCUUAGGCUUAAGUUUUAGUAUUCCAUCUUUUGUUUGGUUCAUGUCCUUGUAAUGUCUUCUGGCUCCGGAAGGAUUGCGAUCCUUGUCGGCUUAUGGCUCUGGAAGGAGUGUGUUUCUUGCCGGCUAAGUUUAAAUCUUUCAUGUUUUUAAACUAAUCUAAUAGAUGACAAAAAAAGAAAGCUAGGAAUAAUUUUUUAACAUAAAUAUUUUAGGAUAUAAGGAACGUAAAACUAACCAAUCAAUCUAAUUUCAGUUCUUUUGGAUCAUCUUGUAACAAUUUUUAAAAUCAAAUAUAUGUUAUAUAUAUAUAUAUAUAUACAUUUAAGGUUAUUGUUGAGAAAAUAGUAAAUGCUAAAAUUGGUAGGUAAUUCAUCGCUAAAAUAUUUAUCCACAUAUUUAAUCAUUCAACUUUAAUAUAUGUUGUUGGCAUUAAUUUUGUUUUUUACGUGGUGACAUAUCGUAUCAAAAACUAAAAUGAAUAUUUGGAAUAAAACAUAAUAUUUUUGAAUAGAAAGAAAAUAAAACUAACCAGUCAAUUUAAAACAGUUUUUUCGGAUCAUCAUACAAAUAGUUUUCAAAAGACUUAUUAUAUAUAUAUGUAUAUGUUCACAUUCAUGGGUUUCUAUAAUAAACACACAAAACAUUUAUUUGCAGAGAAGAGUUAUAAUGUCUACAUCUAAAGUUGCUAUAUUUUGUAUUAUCCUCGUUUCUUUUGCUAGUUUUCAUGAAUGUACGGCGGUUUUCGUCCAAUCAUGUAUCACCAUUGCCAUUAAAAUCAUAAAAAAAUCCUCCAUCAUCAUUUUUAAUUUUUUUAUUCGUUUAAUUUUAUGCAGGUGUCAACCUGGAAAGAGCUUCCAAACUGACAUGCUCUAAAUCACCACAUAAUAUUUGGUGCUGCAGCUCAAAUAAACAAUGCCGAAGUUCCAAAUUGGAAUGUCAGAAGGUCUGUAUCAACGGCCGUUGAAGUUUUCUGGAAAAAUUCUAUAGUUAUAUAAAUUUAAAUAUUUCCAAUUAUUAUGUUCUAAAGAUUUUCGUAUUUCUAAAAUUUAAGAAGUUUAAAUUUUAUAGAAAAAAAAAGAAUAAAAAAAUUUAGUCUGUUUAACUGUAUUUAAUGAUGUAAAGUAUUGGUUUAUUGAAUAAAAUUGAUAAUAAUAAUAUCACAAUACUAAAAGGGACAUUUCCUCUCCUCUUAAGCAUGCCACAUCAUCAGAAAUAAUUGGCCAAUCAGAACAUUUCAUUCUCGGUUUGGGCUUCAAUUUUUUACGUAUGGGUUUGUUUCGUUUCUCGGUCUGGGCUAAUGGGCUUCGUCUGGUUUGUGUUACGGCUUACUCCUUCACUUAAACCUAGAUCUACGGAGGCAAGUCGCGAGUCUCUCCUUCUCUUCCCCUUUUCUCUUCGUCUUCUCCUCUGUGUAUUGAUCAUCCCAUUCUUCACGAUCGGUUUCUUUCAAUCAAUUCCGCCAUCAAUUUCUUCUUUAUGGUUUCUUUUCAUCUUCCCUCUUUCCUCCUUCUUUAUAUAUUGUUUCUUCCCUCGUGUACAAAUCAAAACCCUAGAAACUCAAUCGAGGGCGAUGAAACCACAUGGGAAGUCGAUUGUGUCCUCCGAUAACGACGAAAAAGUCAUCUUCUUCAAAGAUCUCUCGCUGGGUCCCCACGAAGCUCAGUUGCGGUUUCGGCUCAUCCAUUUCUUGGAGGCUUGGAAUCCGCUAAAGAAGACGCUUAUUGGCAUGGAGAUGCUACUCAUCGACGAACAGGGAACUGUUAUUCAAGGAUUCAUUUCCCCAGGGCGUAUCGAAAAAUAUCGGCCUGAGAUGAAGCGAGGAUCUGUUUACAAACUCAACAACUUCUACGGAUCCAGAAACAAAUCGUUGUUUCGGGUUGCUGAUCAUACCGUUACAGUGUCGUUCUCAUGGAACUCGGAGUUGACGGUUCUUCUAGACUGUCCCACUCAUUUUGAUGCGGACAGUUUCCGGUUCCAUUCAUAUGAAGAGUUUCAAGCUAACUGCGACCUCAAAGGAGACCUCUACGGUAAGCUCUGUGAUUCCCAACGUUCUUUUUUAGUUGAGUUUCUUGAUAAUUAGAAUGUUGCUUAGAUACGUAGAUCUGAAAUUGGUUGAUUCAAUUUUUUGGGUUUGUUCAGUAUUCUCUGAACUCGGUCCUCGGAUUUUAUUAGUUUUUUUAUAUCCGUAGAAGAAAUAUAUGCUUAAAAAAAAUAAAAUUAUAAAUACCUGUUGUUUUCAUAUUAGUAUAUUUAGCUUUGUAUAUUGAGAGACAUGUGAAGCUCUUGCGAGGGUACAGAGUUAUUAGCCUACCUUUUAUAAAUAAAGAUAUCUGUGAGUACGUAAAAACUUGGAUUAUUAGAAUUGCUUAGAUUCUUUUAAACUUAAAGUUUAUAGAAUGUGUAAGACAAAAAAUGUUGCCAAUAUUUAAAUACUUUUUCCUUUGAUUCAUUAAGUUGAUGAAUUUUAAUUUAGAUGUAACUAUUGUGAUGUUUAUCUGGAUGUUGUUGGCCACAUGAAGUUGGUUAAUGGUCAGAGUAUUGUUGAGGCACCAGUUCUUGACGAAGUGGAGAUAGCAAAAGCUAGGCGUGUUCUGAUUCAUUUCCAAUCACAUGAGUAGGUGUACAUUAUUUUUUCGAAACUACUUCUCUUUACUCCUAUUAACUAUUUAGUAUCGUUUUUUUCAGUGGACCGGUCAUGAAGCUCUACCUUUGGGAUCAGGCUGCAAGAGACUUCUGCAAAAUGUUCAAGUCGUACGAGGUCACACCCACUGUGUUACUGGUCACGACUGUUAACACAAAGACUCUCGGAGGUUCUGAUUUUUAUCUAUACUAUAGGUCUCUUACAGUUUAUAUAUCACCAUUUUGUGUUCUUUAACGGAUUUUUUCAUUUGGCAACAGGUACUCUGGCCUUUACCUCAAUGUCCUCUUCGCGUGUGUUUAUGGACUAUGAUGUCCAACCUACCAUAGAUUACUUCAGUUUGUAAGCUUAUAUGUGUUUUGCUUUUACUCUCUUACUCAAUGAAGUGCUCGCGUUACCUCGCUGCGUUGACUGACUAAAUCAAUUAUUUUUACUCUGUCCCAGGUUGGCCUCUAAUCCCGGUAUUGCUGAGCAGGUUAAUGCAGAGGUAGUCCCCAAACGUGAGACAAUGACUAUAGGGAAAAUAUUCUCCUACAUCGAGCAGGAAUCUGCAAAGGUAAACUCAAUCUAUAUAACUUCAAUCACUAAGACAAAUUUAUAUUCCUAUGCAAAUUCGCAGGGCGCCUUCUUUGAGUGCACGGCUACGAUCGAUGACGUAGUACAUGGUUCUUAUUGGUACUAUAUUGCCUGCAGUGGGUGCCAUUCUAAGGUUAGCAAAGGUCCAACUUCGUUGAUCUGUACAAACAAGAAGUGUGGAAAGGUUAACGUAUCUGGUGUUCCACAGUACCUGUCAAAGAUAUCCGUUUAUGACAACAGUGAGCAAGCUGUGUUUGUGCUACUUGGUGAAGCUGGUCGUGAGCUGACUGGGAAGCCAGCAUCAGAGUUAGUCAGAAGCUAUUUUGAGGUAACUUUAUAUAGGUAUAUAAGCUCUGAAACAUUUUGGGUAGAUGUUGUUUUCUUUUCAUCAUGCUAAGCUAUUAAACGUAUAAGCCUGGCCCUGUUUUGAUUGAAUUUCAGGCUAAUGGGAACGAAGGAGUUAACCUUGAGGCGCCUGUUCUGGAAGCUCUAAUCAGCACCAUCGGUCAGAAGCAUAAGUUUUGUGUGAAAGUUACAGAGCAUAAAUUUUCUGGUAAGACCCGAGCUCUUACCGUGACCAAGAUCCUCCCACUAGACACUUCACCAGCCACAGUGUCUUCGGAAGAUAACCAGGCUACUGCGACGUCUGAGGAGACAUCCGAAAACCGUGUGGAUUCAGCAGAUGGGAGUAAGAGAACCUGUGACAGUUCUGAGCUGGAGAGAGCUAAACGCCCUAAGUGUGGGAACUAGGGUUCUCGUGACACUUCUCAGAGAUUGCAACUUCUGUUCAGUUUACGUGUUUGUCUCCUUUACAAUUGCAUGCAUGGUUUUUUCAUUAUGUCUUUGAAUUAUGAGAGUUUUUUCCUUGACUAUGGUUUCUCUCAUUUUGAAUUAUCAGAGUUUUUUUAAGAAUCAUUUGUUAUCAAA